rnacentral:rRNA from 1 species
CCUACGGGCGGCUGCAGUGGGGAAUAUUGCGCAAUGGGCGAAAGCCUGACGCAGCGACGCCGCGUGAGGGAUGAAGGCCUUCGGGUUGUAAACCUCUUUCAGCGGGGACGAAGCGAAAGUGACGGUACCCGCAGAAGAAGCACCGGCUAACUACGUGCCAGCAGCCGCGGUAAUACGUAGGGUGCAAGCAUUGUCCGGAUUUAUUGGGCGUAAAGAGCUCGUAGGCGGCUUGUCACGUCGGAUGUGAAAACUCGGGGCUCAACCCCGAGCCUGCAUUCGAUACGGGCUAGCUAGAGUGUUGCAGGGGAGACUGGAAUUCCUGGUGUAGCGGUGAAAUGCGCAGAUAUCAGGAGGAACACCGGUGGCGAAGGCGGGUCUCUGGGCAACUACUGACGCUGAGGAGCGAAAGCGUGGGGAGCGAACAGGCUUAGAUACCCCAGUAGUC